rnacentral:misc_RNA from 1 species
AACGCAUAUUGCACUCUUUGGUAUUCCGAAGAGUAUGCUUGUUUCAGUAUCAUGAAAAUCGUCAUUAAAUAUGAAUUUUUUUUUUUUUUCAAAUUUAAUGGAUUUGAAUUUGCGAUUUUGGAUAAUUGCUAAUUUGAAAUGAAUUUCAAGAAGCUGAUGCUAGAUCUUUGCUUAAUAGUUUUGAUUUUUUAAAUCAAAUCUUUAGCUCUGAUCUUUUAAGCAAAAAGUGAAUUGAUUUUACGAAAAUCUUAUCUCAUUUUUUGAUCUGAAAUCAAGUAGGACUACCCGCUGAACUUAA